GGNGUUGCNUGGCUGUCGUCNGCUCGUGUCGUGAGAUGUUGGGUUAAGUCCCGCAACGAGCGCAACCCUCAUCCUUAGUUACCAUCAGGUAAUGCUGGGGACUUUAAGGAAACUGCCAGUGAUAAACUGGAGGAAGGUGGGGAUGAUGUCAAGUCAUCAUGGCCCUUAUGGAGUGGGCUACACACGUGCUACAAUGGUGGCUACAAUGGGCUGCAAAGUCGCGAGGCUAAGCCAAUCCCUUAAAAGCCAUCUCAGUUCGAAUUGUACUCUGCAACUCGAGUGCAUGAAGUUGGAAUCGCUAGUAAUCGUGGAUCAGCACGCCACGGUGAAUACGUUCUCGGGUCUUGUACACACUGCCCGUCACGCCAUGGGAAUUGGUU
rnacentral:rRNA from 1 species